CUAAUUCUAUUUUCUCUCAAGCCUCCUCUGCCCUCUAACCUUACAGCAAUAACCAUCGUUUCUUCUCCUUCAAUCUUGGUUCUCACCGUCUUGCUGCUCGCCAUCAUAUUUCAUCAAGCCUCCACCCUCGACGAUCAUCUAGUUAUCUUUCUUCUUCAAACACUUGCAUUAGCCGUACGUAAUAUAGGUAACUUCUCAAUCUUUAAUUUGUUGAGUGGAUUUCUCACUUUAAUUGGGGAGUCAUAUACAUAUAUAUAUAUAUAUAUUUGGAUAGAUUGUUAAGAAGCUAACUUUCUUGGUUCAUAGAUGUAUUUUGAUAAAUAUUAUUCUCAUUUAUAGCUAUUAUUGAUCGAGUGAUCCAGGAGAGAAGGAAUUCUUAUAGGCUCUUUUUAAUUGUACUUACUAUGUAAUAGUUAAAUUAAAUGAUGAAUUUUUCUUUGAUUUUUUGCUAUAACUUUUGCAUACUUUUAUAUACGAGUGAAGCAUUUUAUCAAGUUUCUUUACUAAUUUACUCGGAAAACUGUAUUAGUAUAAAUGUAUUGUAAAUUCAUGCCAUAAGUUUCUUUACUAAUUUAGACUUAAUUUUUUUAUGCCCAGUGGAUUAUUUUACAAGGAAAUGGAGUUUCAGUUGUGGCUAAACAUUGGGUUCAUGAUGCUCAGAAGGACAGAAAGGGAAAUAGAUAAUUAGAGGCUAUGUAAAGGAAAGGGAAAUGGACAGUUGCAUGAUUAGCCAGGCUAUUGGUAUUACUAAUAAUUCUUCAAAAUCUUGAUGUUUUUCAUUAGCAAGGCUAUUAUUAUUCUAACCACCACAUGUUGC
rnacentral:lncRNA from 1 species